CUACGGGUCGCUCCAGUGGGGAAUUUUGCGCAAUGGACGAAAGUCUGACGCAGCUAUACCGCGUGAGUGAAGAAGGCCUGCGGGUUGUAAAGCUCUGUCAAGUGGGACGAAAAACUUACCAGUUCAUAGCUGGUAGGCCUGACGGUACCACUAAAGGAAGCACCGGCUAACUCCGUGCCAGCAGCCGCGGUAAUACGGAGGGUGCAAGCGUUGCUCGGAAUUAUUGGGCGUAAAGGGUAGGUAGGUGGUCUUGUUUGUCUGAGGUGAAAUCCCUGAGCUUAACUCAGGACGUGCCUCAGAAACGGCAAGACUGGAGUCCUGGAGAGGAUCGUGGAAUUCCUGGUGUAGCGGUGAAAUGCGUAGAGAUCAGGAGGAACAUCAGAGGCGAAGGCGACGAUCUGGACAGGUACUGACACUCAACUACGAAAGCGUGGGGAGCAAACAGGAUUAGAUACCCUGGUAGUC
rnacentral:rRNA from 1 species